rnacentral:rRNA from 1 species
UACGUAGGGGGCAAGCGUUGUCCGGAAUCAUUGGGCGUAAAGAGCGUGUAGGCGGCUUGGUAAGUCCGCUGUGAAAGUCCAGGGCUCAACCCUGGAAAGCCGGUGGAAACUGUCAAGCUUGAGUCCGGAAGAGGCGAGUGGAAUUCCUGGUGUAGCGGUGAAAUGCGCAGAUAUCAGGAAGAACACCAAUGGCGAAGGCAGCUCGCUGGGACGGUACUGACGCUGAGACGCGAAGGCGUGGGGAGCAAACAGG